UGGUUACCUGCACUGAUAAUCAGUGUGGGGAUCAUGUGAUCUGCAUUGUGUGGCUGCUUGUCUUGGGUCACAUGAGGCAUGUCACAUGACACAUUAGGAGAUUAUAAAGUUUGGCUUGUGGAGUUCACACUCUCUUGCUGCUGCCAUUUGCCAUUGCAACUAGACUCUUGUCAUACAGGGUGACUGCUAGAACAAUGUGUUCCACUCUUCAUGAAGGACACAGGUGACUGCGUGGCAUUUGAAGGACUUGUGGCCUCCUAUUGAGUUGCUGGGCUGCAGACACUCUGCACUGGAGUGCCCCAUUUUAUCUUCCUGGGUUAUUGUGCUGCGGGGAGUAUUGAACACUCUUGCAAAGUAGGCCAAUACUUCUUGUAUAUGUUGGUCUUAUGUGUGCUGGUGAAUGAAAUUGGGGAUUAAUGUGCAUUAUUUCUUUUUAAAGGGACCAGGCCAGCCACUGUUUUAUUGUCAGUGUACAAGUCUUUUUUUAGUUUGUUUGUUGGUUGUUUUGUUUGCCUUUGGCUUUGUCCUUUUUUUUUGUCCUUGGUCUAGUGUAACCCUGCCUUGACCAAGCCAGCGCGGUGGUCAUUGUGUUGGGAGCUGGCUGUUCUCCUCUUUUUGUCUCUGUAUAGGUUCUCUGUACAAGGCCGGAUCUGCACCUCACUACUGCUCCAUUCAGUUGGGGGCUGCACUGAGGGGACACUAUUUUGGGCCUCCUAGGAGAGGAGCUGUGGGUGCCGUGCCGACCCGACCUUAUUAGUUUGAGAAGCUCCAGCCAGUUUCCCUUCGUCUAUUUUUCACAUUAGCAAUUGUACCUAUUCAAAAUUGUAAUAAAUUCGAGCUUGUGUACAUGCCUUGUGUAAACUGUUUCUUUGCGGGCAGGGUCUAGAAUCAGCCACACUACAGAGAGAAAAGGGGUUUCCCCCGCCCAUUUUAGGGGGUGGUGUAGUCAGACAGUAAAGUACAUGUAGGUAUUCUGCGCGUCAGGUACCACAUCUGUAAUGAAUAUUUUGUAAGUACAUCAUGACAUUUUGACUUGUAUACAACUGCAUUUAUUCUGAAGCUUGCUUUUUAUAUUUUAGAACUGCUAAAUCACUUGCAAUGUCAUUAUAAUUCUAAACACUUAUGUUCUCAGUAAACAGGUGAAAGAGUGCUGCCCUCGAAUCACUACUCACAUACUGCAUUACAUCUCCCUGUAAAUGCUUUUGCCAUCAAGGAAGCACUUUUUCCAUUAGUGAGUGUGCACACAUCAUUAUUACUCAGCACUAUGCUUCAUUAAUAUCUGUUAUUUUAUUACACUCAUCCUUAGUGUGCAGGGGUGGAAUGGGGUUCCAGGCUAGGGUCUAGAUAGCAGGGAGAUGAAUUUCAUUGUCAGCUGGCAUAUGCUUCUUGUUUCCCAUGUAAAUUAAAGACACACCCUCCAGCACACAGCAACUGAGCACUAUGGUUUUAUUUUUUUUCCUGGAGUUCUUGAGAGAUUUUUCUUGAGUAUGAUUUAUGAAGCAUGUAAAUAUAAUUUACAUGUAUCUAGAUCAGUACCUUUGUUCUCCUCUAGCAUGGCAGCUGGGUUUCUCAAAAUCUUUAAUGUGCAUGUACAAUACAUUCACAGAGAGUGACAUCAUCCCUUUGACCCUUUGAGGCAUUUAUUUUAAAAAGGCUGCAUUCAGAGUCAACAAAUUAUGUUCAAAAGUUAUGUCAAUAUGUACACAGGAAAAGUUAUGCAUAAUCAUAAAUGGGUUACACAGCUACUUAAGUUGAUUUUCUGGGCGCCCCAUUCAGAUUA